UAAAUAGUACACCAUGACAGGAAGACAGAGCAGGCAAAGUGGAUUGUCUGCUUUGAGAAUCUUGGUCCCUGGGGAAGAGUUUUAUUCCAUUGCUCUGUCAAGUAAGAAAGAAAUGGAUGUCUGGACAACCAGGAACUAUUUUACAUGGCCCCUCCUUGGGCCCACCUUUUAAGAGCACGCAUGUUUCUUGGCUGUGGUUUUGGCUCCUUCUCCUUAUCCUUUCCAGUUCAGGCCUUGGUCCACACUGACUUCAGAUGCCAGGACAGGGUUCAUUUUUUGCAGUAGCCAGGAGGGGUAUGGCCAGAACCCAGAAGUUAUUCUAUACUACCUCAAUUCAUUGCCAGGAGUGGGGGAAGGGAAUCUCUUUCAGGGAGAAGGGCUCCCUCCUGGUCAUGGUUGUAGCUCCCCUCUCCAGCACACAGCACCGGAGAGGGGGAGGAGGGAACGAGCAGCGCCUGGUUUUAGUGGGAGCGCAGUACUGGAGAAUGCCAUUCCUAAACAACAGCACAUCAAACUAAUUUCCUUAUUUUCCACUGGAAGUUCCAUAAGAGGAGGCUGCAAUAAGACUUGCAUCUGCUAUGAACUCAAAUUAUACAUCACUGCAGCUGCAGUAGUAAGAGAAGACUAAGACUGCAUUUGUACGAUUUGUGACAAGUACUGUGAACAGCAUAUUAAAGAAGGACCCAAUAAACAAGGUGAUGACUUUAUUCUGGAAAGAAGUUAGUCCAUUGUUCUUAAUGAAAAUGAAGGGAAUUUUUCUUUUGUAUAAUUCCCUUCUUUCUGUCUUGGGACCCUGAAUAAAACUGUUUCUUCAUUAUUUCUAACAUUACUUCUACAGGCAGAUACUUGAGAAAUUGUUUAUUUUUAUAUUUGAAAGACAGGGCUUGAAAGAUUAAUUGCUGCUUUCUGCAUUAGGGAAGCUCUGUAGAAUUACUGAAUGUAUCAUGUAGGUUUCCAUACUAUUCUGCUUCAGAUUAGCAUAAUUUUCAGUGUGGGGUUUUUUUUAUUUAUGAGCUAACUAUUUGGGAAGUGUGAUUAAAUUUUAUUUCUGUUCUUAAUAAUGGGGAAGUCCUUCUCUCAUGUCUCAUAUCAGCUCAUAACAUAUAUAAAUUUCAUGGCUAAACUGAA